GCCAGUGUGGCAUAGUGGUUUGAGUGUUGAACUACAACUCUGGAGAUCAGGGUUCAAUUUCCCACUCGGGCC
rnacentral:tRNA from 1 species